AGUGAACGCUGGCGGCAGGCCUAACACAUGCAAGUCGAGCGGCAGCGGGUCCUUCGGGAUGCCGGCGAGCGGCGGACGGGUGAGGAAUACAUCGGAAUCUGCCCUGUCGUGGGGGAUAACCUAGGGAAACUUAGGCUAAUACCGCAUACGACCUACGGGUGAAAGCGGGGGAUCGCAAGACCUCGCGCGACAGGAUGAGCCGAUGUCCGAUUAGCUAGUUGGCGGGGUAAAGGCCCACCAAGGCGACGAUCGGUAGCUGGUCUGAGAGGAGGAUCAGCCACACUGGGACUGAGACACGGCCCAGACUCCUACGGGAGGCAGCAGUGGGGAAUAUUGGACAAUGGGCGCAAGCCUGAUCCAGCCAUGCCGCGUGGGUGAAGAAGGCCUUCGGGUUGUAAAGCCCUUUUGUCCGGGAAGAAAUCGUCUGGGCUAAUACCCCGGGCGGAUGACGGUACCGGAAGAAUAAGCACCGGCUAACUUCGUG
rnacentral:rRNA from 1 species